GAUGAACGCUGGCGGCGUGCUUAACACAUGCAAGUCGAACGGAAAGGCCGAAGCUUGCUUCGGUACUCGAGUGGCGAACGGGUGAGUAACACGUGGGUGAUCUGCCCUGUACUUCGGGAUAAGCUUGGGAAACUGGGUCUAAUACCGGAUAUGACGAUCUCUUGGAUGGGGUUGUGGAAAGCUUUUGCGGUAUGGGAUGAGCUCGCGGCCUAUCAGCUUGUUGGUGGGGUAAUGGCCUACCAAGGCGUCGACGGGUAGCCGGCCUGAGAGGGUGUACGGCCACAUUGGGACUGAGAUACGGCCCAGACUCCUACGGGAGGCAGUAGUGGGGAAUAUCGCACAAUGGGCGCAAGCCUGAUGCAGCGACGCCGCGUGGGGGAUGACGGCCUUCGGGUUGUAAACUCCUUUCGCAAUCGACGAAGCCUUUUGGUGACGGUAGGUUGAGAAGAAGCACCGGCUAACUACGUG
rnacentral:rRNA from 1 species